rnacentral:rRNA from 1 species
GCAUAUCAAUAAGCGGAGGAAAAGAAACCAACAGGGAUUGCCCCAGUAACGGCGAGUGAAGCGGCAACAGCUCAAAUUUGAAAUCUGGCUUCGGCCCGAGUUGUAAUUUGCAGAGGAAGCUUUAGGCGCGGCACCAACUGAGUCCCCUGGAACGGGGCGCCACAGAGGGUGAGAGCCCCGUAUAGUUGGACGCCUAGCCUGUGUAAAGCUCCUUCGACGAGUCGAGUAGUUUGGGAAUGCUGCUCAAAAUGGGAGGUAAAUUUCUUCUAAAGCUAAAUACCGGCCAGAGACCGAUAGCGCACAAGUAGAGUGAUCGAAAGAUGAAAAGCACUUUGAAAAGAGGGUUAAAUAGCACGUGAAAUUGUUGAAAGGGAAGCGCUUGUGACCAGACUUGCGCCCGGCUGAUCAUCCCGUGUUCUCACCGGUGCACUCUGCCGGGCUCAGGCCAGCAUCGGUUCUCGCGGGGGGAUAAAGGUCCUGGGAACGUAGCUCCUCCGGGAGUGUUAUAGCCCAGGGCGUCAUGCCCUCGCGGGGACCGAGGUUCGCGCAUCUGCAAGGAUG